rnacentral:rRNA from 1 species
UACGAGGGGGGCGAGCGUUGUUCGGAAUUAUUGGGCGUAAAGGGCGCGUAGGCGGUGCGGUAAGUCACCUGUGAAACCUCUGGGCUUAACUCAGAGCCUGCAGGCGAAACUGCCGUGCUAGAGUGUGGGAGAGGUGCGUGGAAUUCCCGGUGUAGCGGUGAAAUGCGUAGAGAUCGGGAGGAACACCAGUGGCGAAAGCGGCCGACUGGACCUGUCCUGACGCUGAGGCGCGAAAGCGUGGGGAGCGAACCGG